rnacentral:rRNA from 1 species
AUACGGAGGGUGCAAGCGUUACUCGGAAUUACUGGGCGUAAAGGACGCGUAGGCGGUUUAGAAAGUCAGAUGUGAAAGCCUAUGGCUUAACCAUAGAACUGCAUCUGAAACUCCUAGACUAGAGUGAGGGAGAGGUCAGUGGAAUUAGUGGUGUAGGGGUAAAAUCCGUAGAGAUCACUAGGAAUACUCAUAGCGAAGGCGACUGACUGGAACUUUACUGACGCUGAGGCGUGAAAGCGUGGGGAGCAAACAGUAUUAGAAACCCUAGUAGUCC